rnacentral:rRNA from 1 species
AUACGGAGGGUCCAAGCGUUAUCCGGAUUCAUUGGGUUUAAAGGGUCCGCAGGCGGGAAAAUAAGUCAGUGGUGAAAGCCUACAGCUCAACUGUAGAACUGCCAUUGAUACUGUUUUUCUUGAGUAUAGAUGAAGUGGGCGGAAUAUAUCAUGUAGCGGUGAAAUGCAUAGAUAUGAUAUAGAACACCGAUUGCGAAGGCAGCUCACUGAACUAUUACUGACGCUCAGGGACGAAAGCGUGGGGAGCGAACAGGAUUAGAUACCCUAGUAGUCC